UACGUAGGUGACCAGCGUUGUCCGGAUUUACUGGGCGUAAAGAGCGCGCGGGCGGUCGUUCAAGUCGAGUGUGAAAGCCCCCGGCUCAACUGGGGAGGGUCAUUCGAUACUGAUCGACUUGAAGGCAGGAGAGGGAAGCGGAAUUCCCGGUGUAGUGGUGAAAUGCGUAGAUAUCGGGAGGAACACCAGUGGCGAAGGCGGCGCUCUGGGCCGGUACUGACGCUGAGGAGCGAAAGCGUGGGGAGCAAACAGG
rnacentral:rRNA from 1 species